GCCGGGCAUGGUGGCACAUGCCUGUAAUCCCAGCUACUCAGGAGGCUGAGGCAGGAGAAUCGCUUGAACCCAGGAGGUGGAGGUUGCAGUGAGCCGAGAUGGUGCCACUGCACUCCAGCCUGGGCGACAGAGUGAGACUCUGUCUCAA
rnacentral:SRP_RNA from 1 species